GCCGGGCCCCGUGGCUGGUGCCUGUGAUCCCAGCUCCCGGGGAGGCUGAGGCCGGCGGAUCGCUUGAGCUCGGGAGUUCUGGGCUGCAGCGGGCUGUGUCGAUCGGGUGUCCGCAUUAAGAUCGGCAUCAAAAUGGUGAUUCCUGGGGAGCUUGGGAUCACCAGGUUGCCUAAGGAGGGGUGAACCGGAGCAGGUCAAAACUCCCGUGCCGAUCCGUAGUGGGAUCGCGCCUGUCAAUAGCCCCUGCAGCGUAGGCUGGGCAAGACAGUGAGACACGGUCUCUU
rnacentral:SRP_RNA from 1 species